AGUUAGAAGCUGCAAAUCUAUUCUACCAGCCAAAUGCAAAAGUUGAAUGCUUGUAACUUUGUUUGUAAGCUGCCAAGCCCAUGAGAUGAGCGUAGACUUGAUUUUUUUUGCAACCAACCAUACUUUCUUUUCUGUCCUAUUUCCCCAUUGUCCCUGUUAAAUUAAUUCUUAAUUUUAGUUGUCUACUUUGCUUUGUCACAGUUGGCACUCUACAUCCUAGUAGCAGGCAUUCUUUACAUAUACAUAAACUACGACUGUGAUAGGCAAAGGCAAGAGUUUCGCAGAACAAAUGGCAAAGCUUUGGUUUGGGGUAAAGCUCCAUCAAAGAUAACUGCCACUUACACUACCACAACUGGGGAAACAAAAAGCAGCAUUCUUUUAACUUCGGGAUGCUUUCAUUCAUAACCACUAUGUCCCAGAAAUAUUAGCUGCAUUUUUCUGGACUGUUCCAGCUCUUUUUA